GGAUCCAGACUUUGAUUCUGGCUCAGGAUGAACGCUAGCGGCAGGCUUAACACAUGCAAGUCGAGGGGCAGCGCGGGGCAGCAAUGUUCUGGCGGCGACCGGCGGAAGGGUGCGUAACGCGUGAGCGACAUGCCCGUUGCCCGGGGACAACCGGUGGAAACGCCGACUAAUCCCCGAUGGGACGGAGGCCCUCAUGGGUCUCCGUUGAAAGUUACGGCGGCGACGGAUUGGCUCGCGUCCGAUUAGCUUGUUGGCGGGGUAACGGCCCACCAAGGCUACGAUCGGUAGGGGUUCUGAGAGGAAGGUCCCCCACAAUGGAACUGAGACACGGUCCAUACUCCUACGGGAGGCAGCAGUGAGGAAUAUUGGUCAAUGGGCGGAAGCCUGAACCAGCCAUGCCGCGUGCGGGAAGGAGGCCCUAUGGGCUGUGAACCGCUUUUGCCUGGGGGCAAUAAGGGCGUCGUGCACGUCCGAUGAGAGUACCAGGCGAAUAAGCAUCGGCUAACUCCGUGCCAGCAGCCGCGGUAAUACGGGGGAUGCGAGCGUUAUCCGGAUUCAUUGGGUUUAAAGGGUGCGUAGGCUGUGCGUCAAGUCAGGGGUGAAAUUCCGGGGCUCAACUCCGGGGCUGCCCUUGAUACUGUCGCGCUGGAGUGCGGAUGCCGCCGGAGGAAUGAGUGGUGUAGCGGUGAAAUGCUUAGAUAUCACUCAGAACACCGAUUGCGAAGGCAUCUGGCGAAUCCGUAACUGACGCUGAGGCACGAAAGCGUGGGGAUAGAACAGGAUUAGAUACCCUGGUAUUCCACGCCGUAAACGAUGAUGGCUAACCGCCGGCGACACACUGUCGGUGGCCAAGCGAAAGCGAUAAGCCAUCCACCUGGGGAGUACGUCGGCAA
rnacentral:rRNA from 1 species